UGUGAUAAGACCUUUGCUGUUCCCCUCCCCCAAAGGAAGAUGACCUGGUCUGAACAAUCCUUUCUUUUCUUUUGCUAAUAACUUCCUUGCCCCUCCCUUCUCCCUACUGAAACUUUCCAUUUUGUACAGCUCCUUGGAGUAUCUCUCUACUUGCUAGAUUUGGUGGCAGCAGCAGGAUUCAAAGCGAACUUCCGGCAGCAUUUGAGGACAUUGAGAAACACAGGUGAGGUGCCCAGAAAGUCCUUUUUGAGUUCACGGUGGUGUUUCUCACCAUUUCCAAGGACCCUGGAUAAGUUCCUCUCAGUUUGAGCUUUCUCUUUGCAUUGGGCUCCUGAGCUAAUUGGCCUUCCAGUCCAGGGCUUAGUGGGUCAGCUUGAGCUGGCAGAUGAUUCCAUCUGGAACCAGAGUCCCUAGCCCUUGGUUCAGUCCGCAGUUCCCUGGUGUUUGUUUCAUCCCUUUUCCCAGUUCUGGUUUGCAGUCCUCUUUUACUGGAGUCUUCUGGUUUCGUCUGUGCUGGGUAUUGCUGGAGGUGUACACAGGGCUUUCUAUUGGCCAGUCCACGGUAACAUCUAAACCUCAGCCCUUGGUUCUGUCCCCAGAUUCCAAACUGCUGGUGGCAGCUGCAGUUCUCCAUUCAUUUUGAAUCGGUCUCACUCCCUAUUCUUUGAGGUCUGCUCCUACAAUCCUUUCCCCAAUCCCUAGUUCUUUGAUUACUGCUGGUGUCCACAGUUCUGUUUCCUUAGUUACUGUUGGUUUCUGUUAAUAAUGCACAUGAGAUAAAGGCUAUUGCUAAAAGGGAAUCUUGAAAGCCAAAAAGCCACAAAAGUUGUUAGACGUAAGUCUAGUAUUUAAGGGCUGUUAGAGUACUUGCCACUUCAAGACUCCUGUGAUAGGCUCUUUUAGGUACUAGUUUUGCUCCAGGAAGCCCAAAGGCCUAGCUAAAAGAAAUGGGUCCUUUAUAUGCAAAGAGUUGAGUGUGCCCCCUUUAGGCAGACUUGCUUAUUUUAUGUCUGAGAACUGUGAUCUCAGAAGCUGUAGAUAUUUACAAAUAGCCAAAAUCUUGCUGAGCUUUUUUUUUUGUCUUGAGAGCUUGACUUGAUUUCUGUCUGGUUGGGGAACUCCAAAACACAGCCAAAUAAAAAUGUGAGUUGCACUCCAUUUGUGGCUAGGCGUGGCUGGACAAAAAUGUGAGUUAAACUCCAUUUGCAGCCAGGGACCAACCAAACUUCAACCAGCCCUCAGGGGGAAUUGCAAUGGCCAUUAUGGGGAACAUUCCAAAUAGAUAGGAUCACUUUAAAAAUACAUGUAAAAACAAGGCCUCUUCAGAAGUCUCCAAAAGAGUUUGAAAUUCUGAAAUAGCUUCAUUGAAAGAUCCAUUGCAAAAGGCUAAAGAAAAAUUAAAGAAAUAAAAGCUACCUAAAACAAAAGCUACAACCCAGUUCUUUGGGGAAUUGAAAACAACUGUCUUUGUCUUGCAUGUCUACCAAAUCAGACAUGUGGCUCUAGGAGAAAUUCAACAGCUCACCUCUCUUUAUCAUCCUCCAAAACUCCCCUAAACAAUUCAAAAUGCUUGUCGAUAUUGGGAUGAUAGAAACAGAAUUAUCCUUCUUAAGAAUUUGAAUUACCAUAGACCUCUGAUAAUAGGCAAAUAUGCCCCCAAAACUUAGUCUUUGAGAAAAGCUUGAAACCUUCCUCUGUGCCUUUGUAAUUUAGAUUUUCUACCCCCAUCUUCUCUAGGAACUAAGACCUAUUCUUUGAAAUGCAAACUUUAGGGAGAAAUUUCUCAUCAGAAGGGGAAAAAAAAGAGAGGCGUUUGGAAGUUGGGCAAAUAAAAAUUUUCCUCUGCACAGAUAUUAAUAACUAUAAGGUACCUGCUUGCAUCUAUCUGUGAGUGUCUAUCUAUGUAUGCUGUAGAUGUGUGAUUUUUUUUUUACCUCUGGAUGAUAUUGUCAAAAUUAAUUUGUAAAAGAGCUCUAUUUAAUUGGCUUAAAGAAAAUUCAGCAUGUAUAUAAAUUAAACUCUCAUAAACAUAAUAAAAACUAGCCCAAAUAAAUUUCAGGUUCAUGUGAUCUUGGAAAAUAUUAGGUGUUAAAAUUAGUUUAAGUUCUCAUGUUUAUUUAAAACAGACAGCUUCAGAGUUAUCAGCAUUAAAUAUAAUGCAGAUAAACAACUUUUUCCUAUCUGGGUUUACUAGUCAGAUUCAUGUUAUCUCUGUUGCAAAACUUAUCAGCAAAAAAAAAAAAAUAACUUAAAAUGAUAGUUGAUUUAGUCUAAUGCCUCAUGAAGUUUUCAAGGGUAACAUAAACAUAAUUAUUGAGAGCAAAUGAUUUAGAUAGAUAUAAGUCAGAUAAGAGUUUAUAGAUAAACAUUUUAGCAACAAUUAUAUUUUAUGAUAUGUCUACUUAGUUUCCCAACUCUCUUUGGUAACUUGAAACAUUAGAGUUUUCCUAAGUUAAAUUAAAUUAUGGGAAUUCAUUGAAUGUCUAGAUCAUUUCUAAAUAAGAUAAAAUACUGAAACAUUAAUUGCUAAACAAGUCUAAAUUUAUCUACUUUUGAGCUCCUAUUACAGAAGAACUAAAGAUAUUUGGGUCUGUUAGUAAACAUGUUUUAUGCCAUGCUGAAAAGCAUGUCUCUAAAAAUAAGAAGUGUUUCUAAAAUUUGCCAAGCCAUGGAAUGCUAACAUAAAACACAGUCUACCAUUGCUUACUUCUUAGUUUUCACAGGAAAUUAAGCCUCCUAAGGGUUAAGAAUUCUAAUUAAUGUAUGUAAUUAAAGCUACUAGAAAAAAUAAGAGAAACAACUCUGUAUGCAAGGAAAGUAGGAUGUGUUUUUGGUUAAGAGAAGUCAUGAGGUAUGGAGAUGUGUUUUUGUUAAAGGACAAAACAAAAAAACCAACCAAGUAAUUUUGUCCUGGUUCUUUCAGAAUGGAAAAAAAAAAAAAAAAAAAAAAAAGAGAGAGAGAGAGAGAAAGAAGGAGAGAGAAUCUUGACUUGUGCGGAUGAGUUUAGAGAAAAGACCAUGAGUUUGAUUUUGCACUUACUGAGUCUGAGAUUCCUAUAUUACAUUCAAGUAGUAACAUUCUAAAGACCAUUGGGAAAAUGCACGUGAAGCUCAGGAGAGACACAGAGAGUAGGGAAGGAGAAUAUGAUCAUUAGAGAGGCAUAAAGACAGAUUCUAGCUGAAAUUGCUAAGUGAUUGAGUUCAACCAGGGAGAGUGUGUAGAAUGACGAAAGUGUUGGGUUGAAGGCAUAGCUCAGGGAACAGCAGUGUUUCAGGAGAAGGAUGUUGGACCCCUACGAUAAUGGCCAGACCCAAAGCCUGCAUUUUUUUGACUUCCUAGGUGGCAUUUGCCUUCCUGUCUUGUUCUGCCUGUUAGCUGGGCAGCACAGAGCUUCAUGUUCAACCUCCAGUGAUAAAUGUUUCUUUAAUUGAGAUUGGAGUUUUCCAAAUCCCCUAGAGAUUAUUCCUUACUGGGCCAAGUAAAACUCCACUGAUGGCUAGGCUCAAUUUCUAGAACCUCUGCUUCAUACCCUAAGAGGCAGGUGCAGUAAAAAUUCUAGGCAAUAUUAUCACAUCUGACCCAUUUCCCUGUGUGUAAACCAUUAUCAUCAGCUAGUGAUUACUAAGAUACCACCAACUCCAGACAAUGAAAUAUCACUUUAUAAGAGUCAUUUUUACCUGGAAAUGUUAUGUUCAAAUUUUAUAUACAGAACUCAGAUAUAUCAAAUUAUGCAACUGGCUUUAAGCAAAUAUUUGUGAAAAUAGAUUAGAAAUGAGAUAUAUAUUGAAGCUCGGUAAUAAAUGCCAAUGCUAUAAAGCAACUUGAUUAAAGUGCAUUGUUUCUCACAUUUGAAAACUUGAAUUUGCUUUAUUUGUAGCCAGAGAAGACAGGAGAUGACCAACAUGAUGGUCUGGUUUUGGAGGAUAAAGAGUAGAGCUAGCUGUCCUCAGUAUGCACAACUUUAAGCUGACUUCAAGCAUUCUGUGUUGGAAUUUAAUAGGUUUAAGGUUUUAUUUUUUAUUUCAUUUUACUUUUUAUUUUAAAUGCAAAUAUUCUGGAUGGAUAACAAUGGGUGUGCUGUUGUCAAUAUGCUUAGUGUGGACAAGGGGAAGGUGGUGAGGAGAGGGGACAGAAUGAGCCUAAGUCACUGCCAGUCUGAGAAAGAGCAGAGAGUUCCAUAAAAGGCCGGCCACUGUCAGAUUUAGCCUCAUUCCAAAUUGCUUUGUGGGGUAGCUCUGUUGAGGACAUUUGUGGACAUUGUGGUUAAGUCUCAAUUGUGUCUGCAGGAAAAUGAUUUUUA